rnacentral:rRNA from 1 species
AUGAGGCCGCCGCUUCCUCUGCUCCUCCCGCUCCUACUCGCUACCUUCUUUGCCAUCGCCCAUGCCGAAACCGACACGGUCGCCGCGCCGUCACCAACCCUAGCUACGUAUCCACCUCCACCUCCACCACCACCGGCGUGGACGCCCGUGUCCUCCCCACGAUCUCCACCGCAGGCGUCCACGACCGUGUCCCCGCCACCAUCUCCACCGCCGGCGUGGACGCCCGUGGCGAACGUGAACGUUCAGUCGAUCAAGCAGGUCGGGCAGUUCGCCGUCCGCAUCCACGCCCUCCAUGUGGAGGUAGACCUGGUGUUCGUGGAAGUCGUCAGCUGCCGGACCCAGCCGUCGAGCGACGGGUUCAUCUACCAGCUGGUGGUCGCCGUGACGGGCUCCGGCGCCGAGUCGCCGCAGUACGACGCGGUCGUGUGGGGCAUCCUUGGGACAAUGCGCUGGGAGCUCCGGUCCUUCAAGCCAAAGUAA